GUGCUCCCACUGGCUCACAUGUACUGAAGUUGGAGCAAUACACAGAUUAGCAUGGCCCCUGUGCAAGACUGAUGUGCAAAUCCAUGAACUGUUCCAUUUUUUU